UGGCCUCUUCCUCCUCUAGUUCACGCGAGAGGCGAGUGUCUGCUCACGUCACAGCACCACUAGCGCUACUUUCUCCUCCUCUUUAAUCCCCAGAAUCGAAGCCUCCUGCAAACCCUACCUCUCUUCCUCCCAGCCACGCCGCCACAUGCUUUUCCCUCCUCGAAGCAAACAGAGAAGGCAGAAAACGAGGUUCAGACCACCGAGCACACCGUCACCUCGUCGCCAUGGAGCUGCCGCUCUAGACCGCCCCUCAUCGAGCAGAAGGCACCAGGAUCUCCACGUCGUCGUCCUCACCAUCCCUGUGCGAGGAAUCAAGAUGGGACUCAGUAAUUCGAGCGCAAGGUCGCCGAUUCCCCGCGCCGGUCGCCAUGAUUCUUCUUCGAUUCUAACCGCCGCUGACCUUCCCCGGCCAGUCUGAGGCCUCCAUCUCGAUCAUGAAAUUUGUCGCCGGCGACUCUCCGUUGAACCCUUGUCCCGGCGCCUACUCCACCACUCCCGUCCAGUCGUGGCGCACGCCCGACGCCCUCUUCUCCCUGGCCGUUCGCCCUCCGUCGUCGGGGCCAUGCUCGACGCCAUCUUCUCUCAGCCGUGCGUCCCCGCUGUUAUGCAUCUCCGUGAGGUAGAGGUGUCUCGGACAGUUAACUUGUCCAAAAUCUGCAGCGGUCUGUACCUACUGAACAUCUGAAUUUCAGAUCCCACACGCCUGGAGUUCUUUUCUACGCACGAGCCAAACAAAAUCAGCUUUGCCAAAGCAGCUAGUGGCUACGGCCUUCUCUUCCCCUGUGGUAUCAGGAUCAGCUCUCAGUGUAUGUGCUGCUUCUUGUCGCUGCUUCAGGCCAGGUUCCGGUCCAGUUUCGUUGCUCCUCUCCAACAGCGCUGCAGCGCUUUGCUUCUUCCCGGAUAGGAUCGCGAAGUGGUGCGGUGAGAUACGACAAGUUCUCCGGAUAUCCAUCGGCAAGCUUUAACA